UACGUAGGGCGCAAGCGUUGUCCGGAAUUAUUGGGCGUAAAGAGCUCGUAGGCGGCUUGUCGCGUCGGCUGUGAAAACCUGGGGCUCAACCCCGGGCCUGCAGCCGAUACGGGCAAGCUAGAAUUCGGUAGGGGAGACUGGAAUUCCUGGUGUAGCGGUGAAAUGCGCAGAUAUCAGGAGGAACACCGGUGGCGAAGGCGGGUCUCUGGGCCGAUAUUGACGCUGAGGAGCGAAAGCGUGGGGAGCGAACAGG
rnacentral:rRNA from 1 species